GCCCAUAGCUCAGUCAGUAGAACGCAAGACUCUUAAUCUAUGGGUCAUGGGUUUGAGUCCCACAUUGGGCA